UGGGAGGCUGUUGUCACUCACUCAUGGCCGUGCUGAGAGGGGCUUCGAUGGUCUGACCUGAUGAGGCUUAGAGAACACCUCUGAAACCUCUCGGGUGUCAAGGAGAUCCAGAUGGUGACAAUGAGGAGGCCCGGGGAGCAGGAGCAGCUCAGCACCUCCUCUGUCCACCGCUCAAACCGAGUCAUGAACACAAAGCUCUGUUUAUUCUUCAAGACUGGAUGAGUGCGGAGAUUUAUCUUGAAACAUUUAAAUAUCCUUAAAAUACAGCUACUUGUGAGGUGUAGCUCACAUUCCUGAGGUAAAUAUAUUCCUGAGGAAGUAUUUGGAAAUAGAUACAACAGUUUGAAGGAACGUCAAAGACAAAUUACAUCCUGUCAUCACAAAGAUCCUGCUGACAAACAAACUGCCAGGGGUGAAAAUACAACCUCCUUGCCCGAUGAUAGAGAAUAAGAGUCAGCGAGUCCAUCUUUGGCAGCAUAACAGCUCCUCACCUUGUGUCAGGACUGAAGAGAUGCUGAUAAAAACACACUCAACCAUCUCAGCUCUCUGCCUGACACCUUGUGUGUUCUUGAAGUGACGCUGGAACAUCUGGCCUGGAUUUAUACAUUGAAAUUCUGGCCGCGGAUUCAAAGAGAAGAUUUUUUUUUUUUAAUUGAAUCCACUCUGAAGCUUGUGAGACUGAAAUGUCUCUUGGCAAGAAGCUUCAAAUACAUACUCAUGUUGCUUUGUCAUGUGACCUCUUUCACACACUUAGAUAUUUUUCUUCUGUUUUUGACUCUUGUGUCAAACUGAUUCUGAUCUUCUCGUGUUGAUCCAUGAAAUGUGAGUUCUUUUUGGAGAAUGGAUCAUCUUGGGGAGAAAUUAACUUCAUCCUUUCUGUCUAAAAAAGGAGGAUAAAUGAAAGGUGUAUCUUUAUCAGAAUAGUUUUCAACAAAUUCCCUUGUUGUGAUUUUGGUUUUGUCCACGAGCGUCUACCCUGCUGCUGCCUCCCUUCCAGCAGUCCAGCCCUGACCGUCGCACAUACCGGCACAACACCAAACCUACUGCUCUGCAACAAUACACACAUUCACAGGCCACAGACAGCAAAUUGCUUCUCUCAUUCCCCCACCACACCCUGCCUUCGUCCUCAGCCACCUGCAAAACAAACUGUGCUGGAAAUUUCACUACAAAUUACCCUGUGUCUGCCAAAUCCCCCCGGGAGUGGAGGAAAUCAAGACCUCGGAUCUCCCUGCCCCCCACCAGAGAGAAGAAGAAAAAAAAAAACAGCCUAACUCACACAGAAAAUAUUCAUUCUGUAUUUUGGUUUUCUAAUAUGAAUAAUCAUGAUUGAUUAAAUCUACUUUGUCGUAUUAGUUUUAUUGAAAUUUAGGGUUAUAAUUUCUACUAUUAAAAGUGGAGACAUGUCAGAAGAAACUACAGAGAAACUUUCACCAAAAAGUAGGUAGGAAUAAUAAAACUGUCUGUGGGUGAACAGGAGAAACCACAUGAAAGAACUGGGUUGACUUUUGUUGACGCAGAUUAUACGAACAACCUGUACUUCUGUGGGUCAACGUGACAACGUGAAACUGAGUCUUCAUUCCCACUAAGAAAGAGUGAAAACUGAGACCUGCUUUGCUUCAGGGGAAAAUCAAAGGAAGGCACAUACCUUAGCAGUGAAUAAUGAUCAACAGCAUAAACCCCACAGCGUUUGCAUAGCAAGGGCCGCAGCGCCUCCUGGUGGCGCAUCGGCAGAACUCCACCCAGGCAGGAAUGUCAGAGAGAGAGAAAGAGAGAGAGAGGGAGUCAGUGGCCGAUGUGCCAGAGAGAUGAGUGUUGAAAGCUCCUUGGAAAAAGGAUUAGGGCUGUUUAUGUUGGCCAAGUGGCUCGCUGCCAGCUGCUCAAGUGUGCAAACUUCUUAAAGCUGCAGAGCUUCGGUCUGUUCAUGAAUCUUUUCACUCCGUUUGCCCUUCGCCCAGACUGUGUGGAUGGCUGUGCUUUGUUCAGGGGGGAAAGCCCCUUCGGCUUCAGCCCCCCACCUCCCUAAAAGCGCACUCUGCUCCAAGAAAAAUAUAUGCUGGAAUCAAAUUCUGCCUCUCUCCGACACCACCCCUAAAAACACAGCCAUACACAGUGUGUAUAGGUGGAAAAAGUCACUGUAAAUCUACAAGCUAAAUGUUUGUACUGUACAUUUGUUUUUGUAUUUCAGUGUAAUCACAGUCACAUGUCAGUCAACCCCUUCUGCUCAUUGACAUGUACUGUGUAUUACCAACCACACACGGCAUAUUGCAUUUGGAUCGUCGAGGGUAAAGAAUCAGAUUAAAGUGAGUAAAUCUAACUGCAGGAGCAGACUGGAUAUGGAUUUCAUCAAAUAAAAGACAGGCAGGGGAGUAGAUGUGUCCAGGUUGGAGGUAAAGGGAGAAAAGAAAGAGGGGAGACGGGGGACGGGUGGUGGGGGAGGCCCACCUAUCAACAGUAGGAUGAGACCCAGCCUGGGAGAUGGCUGCGUGCCAGAGCUCUGCGGCCUGGAGCUAGAUCAGAGCAGGGUUCGUGAGCUGUACUUAUGAUGCAAGGUUCUUGGGUCAUGGAAUAAUAAAAGAUGCAGAGCCUCCGCAGCAAUAGAGCUAAAGUACUGCUUUUGUUCUGGAGUCUUAGACAAUGACAGUAGAGAUGUGUAGGACUGAUGCUCCCAAGCAGACUUACACACACACAUAUUCACAGGUUUUACAUAUUACAAAAAAUUCUAAAUCUAUUUAGCUGUUCCUGUACUUUUGAAUCCCCACAGGAGAUAAAAUGUGUCUGUAGAGCGUCUCUGUGUUCUGUCUGGACGGCAGUGUUUGGGUAAACUAUCGUUCAACCAGACGCUCCAGGUCCAGACUCCAUUAAAGCGAGUGACCAUGGGCCAGACACUGGAUUUCCUUUUAGUUUCAACACUGCUGCUCCACUGCUGACCUUGUUCUUGGACUUCCACACAGAGGGAGGAGAAAAAAAAUAAUUUUGCCUUUGGGUCUUUAAAAUCCAGCUUUUUGUGUUACCGAGUAAAAUCCUAUUUCAUUGCCUCCACCAGUAAGGUUAUUCAUACAUAUUCAAAGGGCUUUGGUGCCCAAGACAAUACAAUGACUUCCUGAUAUAGGGUCCCCCUUCAAAUUAGUCAUUAUACAGAUCACAAAUCCACAGUUGGACUGAAUUUUUUUUUUUUAAACUAAGUGCGGUGCAAAAACACAACUCACAUCUGUGGAUACUUUCUUUGGAGAAGUUGUUAAAUGAACUGAUGACUGGGCAGAAGUUCAGACUUCUACUCAUUGUUAACUGGAAAAUCAUUUAAUAACUAUUAGGACAAUCAUUUAGGAACAAAAAUCAGCAUAUCACUAAUCUACAUGCAAAAAUCCCCAUAGAUGCAGCCUGACUUCAUUCCUGUAAAAACAAACACUACAGUGUCACUGUUUGUGCCUGUUGUGCCAAUAUCUUCUGAUAACUGCAGGUACUGCAAUAAUAAUCAGAAAUUGCAUUGGUAUGAAUACAGGUAUAUUUAGUUGUAUAUUUUCUGUAGUGAGCGAUUUUAUCGCAUUCGUUUUG